rnacentral:rRNA from 1 species
UACGUAGGGGGCAAGCGUUGUCCGGAAUCAUUGGGCGUAAAGCGCGUGUAGGCGGCUUAGUAAGUCUGCUCUGAAAGCCCGGGGCUCAACCCUGGGAGGCGGGUGGAUACUGCUGAGCUUGAGUCCGGAAGAGGCGAGUGGAAUUCCUGGUGUAGCGGUGAAAUGCGCAGAUAUCAGGAGGAACACCGGUGGCGAAGGCGGGUCUCUGGGCCGAUACUGACGCUGAGGAGCGAAAGCGUGGGGAGCGAACAGG